rnacentral:rRNA from 1 species
UACGAAGGGGGCUAGCGUUGCUCGGAAUCAUUGGGCGUAAAGCGCGUGUAGGCGGUCCGGUAAGUCCGCUGUGAAAGUCGAGGGCUCAACCCUCGAAUGCCGGUGGAUACUGUCGGGCUUGAGUACGGGAGAGGCGAGUGGAAUUCCUGGUGUAGCGGUGAAAUGCGCAGAUAUCAGGAGGAACACCGGUGGCGAAGGCGGUUCUCUGGGCCUUACCUGACGCUGAGGAGCGAAAGCGUGGGGAGCAAACAGG